UACGGAGGGUGCAAGCGUUAUCCGGAUUCGCUGGGUUUAAAGGGUGCGUAGGUGGGUUGGUAAGUCAGUGGUGAAAUCUCCGAGCUUAACUCGGAAACUGCCAUUGAUACUAUUAAUCUUGAAUAUUGUGGAGGUCAGCGGAAUAUGUCAUGUAGCGGUGAAAUGCUUAGAGAUGACAUAGAACACCAAUUGCGAAGGCAGCUGGCUACACAUAUAUUGACACUGAGGCAUGAAAGCGUGGGGAUCAAACAGG
rnacentral:rRNA from 1 species